rnacentral:misc_RNA from 1 species
UAUGGUUACAAUGGAAAUCA